rnacentral:misc_RNA from 1 species
GAAGUGCGGAAAUUGGUUUGUGCGGCAUUUGUUCAACUAAUUGAAGUUCGUCCUGCCGUUUUGGAGCCACACUUGAGGAAUGUUUUGGAAUAUAUAUUGCAAGUCAACAAGGAUCCAGAUGAAGAAGUGGCACUUGAAGCUUGUGAAUUUUGGUCCGCAUACUGUGAUGCUCAGUUGCCACCUGAGAACUUGAGAGAAUUC